UACGUAGGGGGCGAGCGUUGUCCGGAUUUAUUGGGCGUAAAGAGCGUGUAGGCGGCCAGGUAGGUCUGCUGUGAAAACUCGAGGCUCAACCUCGAGACGUCGGCGGAAACCAUCUGGCUAGAGUCCGGAAGAGGAGAGUGGAAUUCCUGGUGUAGCGGUGAAAUGCGCAGAUAUCAGGAAGAACACCAACGGCGAAGGCAGCUCGCUGGGACGGUACUGACGCUGAGACGCGAAAGCGUGGGGAGCGAACAGG
rnacentral:rRNA from 1 species